GAGAUAGACUUUUCCCAAAUGCGCGUGCCCCGUCUCCAUCGUCGCUGCACACUUUUCCCAAACGCACAUGCCCCGUCUCCACCGCCGCUCUCCCUCGAUCAUCUCCACCGCUGCACCUUUGAUCGUCUUUGUUGUUGCGCCUCGUCUCCGUCUAUGUGCCGCAUCUCUACCGCCGUUGCGCCCUGUUUAUCCUCUACCGCUUCCCUCUCCUCAGUGAAAUCAGAGUUUAGGGCUAGCCUCGUCUCCGACACUGCGCCCCAUCUCCGCCGUCGUGCCUUGUCUCUACCGCUGUCGAGCCCCGUCUCUGUCAUUACUGCGCCCCAUCUCUACCGCCGUUGCACCCUAUAUAUCCUCUGUCACUUCCCUCUCUACAGCAAAAUCGGAGUUUAGGGUUGUGCCUCAUCUCCGCCAUUAUGCCCGUCUCUGCUGCUACGCUCAUCUCUACCGCUGCUAAGCCCCAUCUCUGCCGCAGUUCUCCCCUUUUCCACAAGCCGCAGUUCUUCUCUCUUCAGCACUGCGCCGAAGCCACCAUUCUGCGCUGAAGCCACCAUUCGUCUCAUCUAAGGAAAGGUGUGAAAAAAUAAAACUACCAGAAAGCACAAGAUAAUGCAUCAAACCACUAGAUGGACAUCUUUUGCUCAAGUGCAGCACAAAUUGGAAAAAGAAAAGGGACACCCUCUAUCAUGAGUUGAAUUAGUCCAAGCUUGCUUUACUCAUACUAAUGGAAGUCCCUCAAGUAAUAUUGUAGCAGAAAGAUUGGUGAUUGGGACUUGGAUUUUUGUGAAGCAAUAUGACAGUUGGAGAUGGUUUGCCGAGUUGAGUUUUUAUUUUAUAAGACUUUGUUAGUUCUAAAACUUAAUAUUUUGAGUGUAGUGUGUUGUUAGUUUUGGAUGUAAAGAACUCGUCGUCAGUUUGCAUUUGUAACUUUGACUCAAAUAUUUGUUGGAUGAAUUUAGAUUAUCUAUUUGCACUUUAAACUGUAUUUUAUAAA